GGGUGCGUGGCGUUAUGGACAACGCGUCUGACUUCUGAUCAGAAGAUUCCGGGUUCGAGUCCCGGUGCACCUC
rfam:Hydatigera taeniaeformis genome assembly, scaffold: TTAC_scaffold0006713